rfam:Schistosoma haematobium scaffold111_15, whole genome shotgun sequence.
AUCCAGCUGACGAGUCCGAAAUAGGACGAAACGUGCUUCCUGGAU